GACAAAUGUCUAUUGCAAAUUAUUCAUCCAGGCCUAAAAUACACAAGUUCUUGUGAAAGUUUUUACUUGAGCUUCAUGGCUUGACAACUUAAGAUGUUCAGAAGUUGAAGAAGAAAAAAUGUGAAGACAUUGUUUACAUGCUGUAUGGUGAGUGUAUUGGACGGGGAGCCCUGAAGUGUGUAUCAAGCCAAAUGGUGAGUUGACUGUAUAGUUACAUCCCUGGCCAUGAGCUUCAACUCAUAUCUGCAACUAGCACUACAUGGGCCGGAACAGUCAAAGGAGCAGAGAGAGGACGACUAGCACUACAUGGGGCGGAACAGUCAAAGGAGCAGAGAGAGGACGACUAGCACUACAUGGGGCGGAACAGUCAAAGGAGCAGAGAGAGGACGACUAGCACUACAUGGGCCGGAACAGUCAAAGAAGCAGAGAGAGGACGACUAGCACUACAUGGGGCGGAACAGUCAAAGGAGCAGAGAGAGGACGACUAGCACUACAUGGGGCGGAACAGUCAAAGGAGCAGAGAGAGGACGACUAGCACUACAUAACAGUCAAAGGAGCAGAGAGAGGACGACUAGCACUACAUGGGGCGGAACAGUCAAAGGAGCAGAGAGAGGACGUCUUGACUGCGGGAGGUGACAAAUGGCUGAGCGCACUCUCUCUGGCAGCAAGCAGUAAUUACACAGAAGAUAGCUAGCGGGAGGUCACUGAGCAUAUGUGUGUGAGCGUGUGUGUGUGUGUGUGUGUGUCUGACAGCUCACAGCUCUCAGAACUCUCUCUCCCCGAAUCCUGCACCGCACUGCACCGUACCAGACAACACGUCUUGGAAUGGACCGCAGGCCUCGGGCUGACAAUAACGACUCACACUAAUCCUGACCCCCUCCCUUUACGCGGAGUCCAGCUCCAGUGGUCAUCAGUUAAACACAACAGAGAUUAACAGUCUCUUGAAGGGCUUAUUCAAGUCUUAAGGAAGCAGUCAGAAGAAUACUUCUUGGACUUUGUCAUCUGUAAUCUGUACAUUUCCAUCUAGCUUCCUUCAUUAAUUGGGAGAGUUCCAAAGAAUGACAGGUUUUGUGUUUGUACUGCACAAAGCCAGGAGAGGGUGGACCAUAUGUUGAUCUCUCUUGCAGCACCUUUGAACAAAAUGAGGAGACUGGAGCAUUAGCGUAACUGUAAAGUGAUUCUGUAGCUCUACCUUUAGCCUGUAUGAAGGGGCUUGUUGUAGUAUUCUGCUGUGCGAUGCGUUUCCAAAGGAACAUUCCAGAUUGGCAAUGCUGGAGCCUGCUAGCCCUCUCCACUGAGAGAGUGCAUUCGACCACUAAAGUAUUAAGUGCUUACACAGGGGUGAGCACUUAGUAUUCUUACAGCUGAGUGCUUGCCCUUACACUCUGUGUCAGACUAUUAAAGACAGCCUGCAAUAGCAGCUCGUGCCAGAGUUGCAACGGUUCUCAGAGUGCACAGUCUGCCUGCUGUUAUCAGGGCCGUAACAGGCCGUGCCAUCGCACAGCUUGGCUGCCUCUUAUCAGUGGGAACAGGCAGGGGGCUGUCAAAGCAUCAGGGCAGCUUCCCAGAAAGAGAACAGCCAGCAGCCGCCGUGAAGAUCACUACGUCAUUUCAUUUAAA